UAGGGAAUCUUCGGCAAUGGACGAAAGUCUGACCGAGCAACGCCGCGUGAGUGAAGAAGGUUUUCGGAUCGUAAAACUCUGUUGUUAGAGAAGAACAAGGACGUUAGUAACUGAACGUCCCCUGACGGUAUCUAACCAGAAAGCCACGGCUAACUACGUGCCAGCAGCCGCGGUAAUACGUAGGUGGCAAGCGUUGUCCGGAUUUAUUGGGCGUAAAGCGAGCGCAGGCGGUUUCUUAAGUCUGAUGUGAAAGCCCCCGGCUCAACCGGGGAGAGUCAUUGGAAACUGGGAGACUUGAGUGCAGAAGAGGAGAGUGGAAUUCCGUGUGUAGCGGUGAAAUGCGUAGAUAUAUGGAGGAACACCAGUGGCGAAGGCGGCUCUCUGGUCUGUAACUGACGCUGAGGCUCGAAAGCGUGGGGAGCAAACAGG
rnacentral:rRNA from 1 species